rnacentral:lncRNA from 1 species
CCAAGUCAACCCCCUCUGAUGGUGGUCAGCCAACUGUUACUUUGCCUUCUGCUACCCUGUCUGUGCCACCUGGUUUUCAGCCACCAGCCAGUCAUCCUCCUGGCUUUCAGCCAACAGUCGCUCCUCCUCCUGGUUAUAAACCACUCACCUCCCCCCCUCCGGGCUAUCAACCAAUCACCACCACCCCUCCUGGUUAUCAACCGAUAGCCACACCCACAGCCACUCCUCCACCCCCCGGAUUCCAACCUAAAAUCAGUCCAUCUCCUCAGGCCACCACCAUCACUCCUUUAUCUACCUCUACCCUCCCUCCUACUUCUGAACCAACAACCACCAUGACUCCUCCCAACCAGAAUAUCCCACCGAGUAAUCCCACUCCUAGCACUCUUUCAACCCCUACAUUACCCGUUUCAAUCCCAGUGUUCUCUCCAUCCUCUCAUGACUCAGAGUCUGCUGUAUCUCCAUCAGUGACACCUGGGAGUGGUAGGGGUAGGGGUAGAGGUAGGGGUCGGGGUCGGGGUAGACCACGAGGUAGAGGUAGAGGCCGUGGUCAAAUAAUUGGAAGUAGUGGAGUUGAUGAGGCUGAGGCUGAGCCACAGCCACAGCCACAGCCACAACCCCAGCCCCAACAUACAGUUACAAAGCAACAUCAUGUGGUAUUAGCUAUGCCAGGUCUUCGGACAUCUUCUCUAAUCAACAUGUCAGAAACACUUCCCUCCACCACCAAUGAGCCUCUAGUUUCCACCUCAACUGCUGUCAGUAACACUCCAGCAGCAGCUCCAGGGACUGUUAGUAUACCUGCUGUAACAGUAACACCACCCCCUUCUGAAAACUUGAAAUCUGAUAUACCGAUACCAGAACCAUCUGUCCCUGUUGAAUCUGUACCUACAUCUUCUACUUUGCCGGAAGUCAGUCAGGCUGUGCCGGAUACUGAUGUGGGGGCUACACCACCACCACCGCCAGUUUCUGUUGAUUCUCAGGUCACCGAGCUUCAAACUACGAGUGCUCAGGCAGCCGCUCCAGUUACCACUGAGCCUGAAACAGCAACCCCAGUUGCCACCGGGGUUGAAGAAUUGAGUUCUCCAGCAUCCACCACGACACCACCACCGCCACCGGUG